AUCCUAUCAGGGGGUUGGAGAUAUUGCUCAGAGGUUAAGAGCACUGGCUGCUCUUCCAGAGGUCCUGAGUUCAAUUCCCAGCAACCACAUGGUGGCUCACAACCAUCUAUAAUGAGAUCUGGUGCCCUCAUGUGGCAUGCAGGCAUACAUGCAGGCAAAAUACUGUAAACAUAAUAAAUAAAUAAAAUCCUAUCAGAGAAAUCAUGCCCAAGAACUCAUCAGACAUAUCAGACCAUAUGGCUAUGAUUUCCGCUCAUGGACCACAUAGAGUGGACACCUAACACUGUGAUGGCACAGUCACACACCAGCCUAUUAUCUGAUACAUGUGAGUGCAUCUAGGAUCAGUAAGUGGAGGACUGAGGAUUCCACAACUGUAUCAGGAGUCGAAACUGUUUGGAAUGCUGCUAUUGAUAUAGCUUACUCUACUGUCAUCUAUCUGUCCAACUGUUUGUCUGCCCCUCAGAACAGAAAUUCACUUUUCCUGUUUAUAGACUCUAACAUGGCCUUUUACUUCACAGGUAGAGUCCGUAUCCUUGUUCUCCAGCCCUGAUUCCAGCAUCUCCAGCAGCAGGUCCCUCUGGUACAGGUCUAGGUCAGCAAGUUCCAGCCUCAGUGGCCUAAGAGUUUCUUAUCCUUUGAACAACCUUAAAUGUCACCUCGAGGAAACAGGCUAGAAAAAGGAGCUACGUAAGUUGAUGUUCCUUUAAAAGAUGGAAUUUGCCAGUCUCAGUUUGGAAUGCCAUUCCCUCUGCUUUUGCAAUGGCCUCAGCUAUCUCAGCUCACAGGCUCAUGCAUUUGUUCCCCAAUUGGUGGUUUUUUUGGGAAAUCUGAGGAGCCAUGGCCUUGUUGAAGGAAGAAUGUCACUGGGAGCAGCCUUUGAGAGUUUAAAAACCUGAACCAUUUCCAGUUCCUUUCUCUGCCUCAUGCUUGUGGUUCAAGAUGUGAGCUCUCAGCAUCCUUCUCCAGUCAUCAAGCCUGCUGUUUGCUAUCACGAUUCCUUGCUAUAAUGAAGUCUUAUCCCCUAGAACA